rnacentral:rRNA from 1 species
GACGAACGCUGGCGGCGUGCCUAAUACAUGCAAGUUGAGCGCUGAAGGUUGGUACUUGUGCCAACUGGAUGAGCAGCGAACGGGUGAGUAACGCGUGGGGAAUCUGCCUUUGAGCGGGGGACAACAUUUGGAAACGAAUGCUAAUACCGCAUAAAAACUUUAAACACAAGUUUUAAGUUUGAAAGAUGCAAUUGCAUCACUCAAAGAUGAUCCCGCGUUGUAUUAGCUAGUUGGUGAGGUAAAGGCUCACCAAGGCGAUGAUACAUAGCCGACCUGAGAGGGUGAUCGGCCACAUUGGGACUGAGACACGGCCCAAACGCCUACGGGAGGCAGCAGUAGGGAAUCUUCGGCAAUGGACGAAAGUCUGACCGAGCAACGCCGCGUGAGUGAAGAAGGGUUUCGGAUCGUAAAACUCUGUUGGUAGAGAAGAACGUUGGUGAGAGUGGAAAGCUCAUCAAGUGACGGUAACUACACAGAAAGGGACGGCUAACUACGUG